rnacentral:pre_miRNA from 1 species
GUAUGUGUGUGGGUGGUGUUCAGGAACAGGUGUGUUUACCUGUGUGUGGAUGGUGUUAAGUGCCAGAGACAGGUGUGUUUACUA